rnacentral:tRNA from 1 species
UCCUGGGUGGUGCAAGCGGUGAACACGUUCAGCUGCUAACUGAAAAGCUGGAGGUUCAAGUCCACCCAAAGGAG